UUGAAAAGGGGAGACAUUAUAUAAGAUUGUCUCUUCAUGGGAAAGAAUAGUGAGGUGUAUCAAAUUCAAAGGCCGAGAUACCGUUUCAGUCGUCAUUUCUCCAUUGACGCUCUGAUUGUUGCUCAUCCAUAC